rnacentral:rRNA from 1 species
UACGUAGGGGGCAAGCGUUGUCCGGAUUUAUUGGGCGUAAAGAGCUCGUAGGCGGCUUGGCAAGUCGGGUGUGAAAACUUCAGGCUCAACCUGGAACGGCCACUCGAUACUGCCAUGGCUUGAGUCCGGUAGGGGACCACGGAAUUCCUGGUGUAGCGGUGAAAUGCGCAGAUAUCAGGAGGAACACCAGUGGCGAAGGCGGUGGUCUGGGCCGGAACUGACGCUGAGGAGCGAAAGCGUGGGUAGCAAACAGG